rnacentral:rRNA from 1 species
UACGUAGGGUGCAAGCGUUAAUCGGAAUUACUGGGCGUAAAGCGUGCGCAGGCGGUUCUAUAAGACAGAUGUGAAAUCCCCGGGCUCAACCUGGGAACUGCAUUUGUGACUGUAGAGCUGAGUACGGCAGAGGGGGAUGGAAUUCCGCGUGUAGCAGUGAAAUGCGUAGAUAUGCGGAGGAACACCGAUGGCGAAGGCAAUCCCCUGGGCCUGUACUGACGCUCAUGCACGAAAGCGUGGGGAGCAAACAGG